rnacentral:rRNA from 1 species
UAACGCGAAGAACCUUACCAGGUCUUGACAUCUUCUGCUAACCUAAGAGAUUAGGCGUUCCCUUCGGGGACGGAAUGACAGGUGGUGCAUGGUUGUCGUCAGCUCGUGUCGUGAGAUGUUGGGUUAAGUCCCGCAACGAGCGCAACCCUUAUUGUCAGUUGCCAGCAUUUAGUUGGGCACUCUGGCGAGACUGCCGGUGACAAACCGGAGGAAGGUGGGGAUGACGUCAAAUCAUCAUGCCCCUUAUGACCUGGGCUACACACGUGCUACAAUGGGUGGUACAACGAGCAGCGAGACCGCGAGGUCAAGCGAAUCUCUAAAAACCAUCCUCAGUUCGGAUUGCAGGCUGCAACUCGCCUGCAUGAAGCUGGAAUCGCUAGUAAUCGCGGAUCAGC